GUGGGGAAUAUUGGGCAAUGGGCGCAAGCCUGACCCAGCAACGCCGCGUGAGGGAAGAAGGCUUUCGGGUUGUAAACCUCUGUCCUUGGUGACGAAACAAAUGACGGUAGCCAAGGAGGAAGCCCCGGCUAACUACGUGCCAGCAGCCGCGGUAAUACGUAGGGGGCGAGCGUUGUCCGGAAUUACUGGGCGUAAAGGGUGCGUAGGUGGCCUUUUAAGUUGGAUGUGAAAUACCCGGGCUUAACUUGGGGGGUGCAUCCAAAACUGGGAGGCUAGGGUGCAGGGGAGGAAAGCGGAAUUCCUAGCGUAGCGGUGAAAUGCGUAGAUAUUAGGAGGAACACCAGUGGCGAAGGCGGCUUUCUGGACUGUAACUGACACUGAGGCACGAAAGCGUGGGGAGCAAACAGGAUUAGAUACCCGGGUAGUCC
rnacentral:rRNA from 1 species